CCUACGGGAGGCAGCAGUGGGGAAUAUUGGACAAUGGGCGCAAGCCUGAUCCAGCCAUGCCGCGUGAGUGAUGAAGGCCUUAGGGUUGUAAAGCUCUUUUGUCCGGGAAGAUAAUGACUGUACCGGAAGAAUAAGCCCCGGCUAAAUUGGUGCCAGCAGCCGCGGUAAU
rnacentral:rRNA from 1 species